GAGCUGCAUCUCUUGCCUGAGCAGCGUUUCAGAAACCCUGGGGGCAGUCAGGACUGUCCCUGAGUGAUUCCUGCCUGCCUUGAAGCCCACGCCGUGCUAGGGCAUCUGAAGGGGGUGGUGUGGACUGUGCUGUGAGCCCCGUGGGGCCUAGAUGGCCCCCCAACUGCAUCACCGCCUGGUGCUCUUGGUAAGGAAGCAUGACACAUGCCUGCCAUCACAGACAUAGGAACAAAUGAGCAAAAGUCCCCCCUGCUACCUGCAGAGACGGCGUGGAAGCCCAGGCCAGUGUGGCUCUGGCAGGCAGACAGGGCUGAGGUUGUCACAGCCAGGAGCCAGGGAGCCAGGCCACUGCCUGCCCAGGAUGGUGGGGCUGGCCCUGCAUCAGCCUCUCAAUACUGGAAGGGAAGCAGAGUUCCAGAGCUGGGAGGGGCGUUUCCAAGGUUGCAGGUGAUGGGGCGGAGGGCAGAGCUCUGUUGGCACCACUGGUCCCUUCCUGGCACGCAGCAACCAUGCGCACCGGCCUGGCAGAGUAGGAAUUGUCGAAAAGGCAGGGGUUACUGGGUUCUUGGGAAGGCUGAAGUGCUGCCUGAGAGUGACGGGAAGAGCUGUGUGGUGGUCCUGGCCAGAGGACCAGCCUCCUCUUUCAGAUGGGGUCCAGUGUGGCUCCCCAGCACAGCCAUUGCUGACCCUGCUGUUGCUGCUGUCACCACACCACACCACACUGCCUCCUCUACCUGCGACCAAGGCCCAGCAGCAGCAGAGGAACGGGCAAGGGUGCUCUUUGGCCCUGCUGCCUCCUCUGCAGCUUCCCCCAUCAAGCCCAGGCUGAGGAGUCUCCCAUGGCAAGGGUGCUCUGACCACUGUGCUGCCCUGCUGAGCCCCUGACUGCUCCCUGACCUGCCACAUUUCCAGGUCUCCAGGAGCAGGCUAGGAAGGGAUGUGAGGCAGGUGUUUUUGAAGUGUCAGAACUCCUGUGGCCACGUUCCCCCCUCUGUUAGCUCUGUGCUCAUGUCUCACCUGCUCCGCCCAGAGACAUCGGCCCCAUGGAGAGUCCUAGAGCCAGCUAAUGCUCAGGACAAGUGCCGGAAGGCACCCACAAGAGCCAGGACAGCAUUCCCAGCUCUAAGGCAUUCAUUUCCUUAAAAACUGAUAAUGCUGAACUAUCUUAAGUGAAAUGCUAAGCCCAGACCUGCCACCUUUCCAGGUCCCCAGGAGCAGGCUGGGUCCCUCCAGGGACCCAGAGGGCAUGUAUGGC
rnacentral:lncRNA from 1 species